CCUACGGGUGGCAGCAGUGAGGAAUAUUGGUCAAUGGACGAGAGUCUGAACCAGCCAAGUAGCGUGAAGGAUGACUGCCCUUUGGGUUGUAAACUUCUUUUAUAAAGGAAUAAAACGAGGCACGUGUGCCUUUUUGCAUGUACUUUAUGAAUAAGGAUCGGCUAACUCCGUGCCAGCAGCCGCGGUAAUACGGAGGAUCCGAGCGUUAUCCGGAUUUAUUGGGUUUAAAGGGAGCGUAGAUGGGUUGUUAAGUCAGUUGUGAAAGUUUGCGGCUCAACCGUAAAAUUGCAAUUGAUACUGGCAGUCGUGAGUACAGUUGAGGUAGGCGGAAUUCGUGGUGUAGCGGUGAAAUGCUUAGAUAUCACGAAGAACCCCGAUUGCGAAGGCAGCUUACUAAACUGUGACUGACAUUGAUGCUCGAAAGUGUGGGUAUCAAACAGGAUUAGAUACCCCUGUAGUC
rnacentral:rRNA from 1 species